UCUUUAGAUAUAGUUGACUCUAUCCUAGACACCCAAGACUUUCUUUAGAUAUAGUUGACUCUAUCCUAGACACCCAAGACUGUAAAACAGUCAAUAAAAUACAUUUUAUUUAAUUAACAAACAAGUAAAAGAUGUCAUGAAAAAACAAAGUUUACAUAAAGUUUUUGAGAAACUAUCCCCCCAAAGACACCUUCAAAAUAGUAAACGAAUCACCUUGAAAAGAAAAACUGAACUUCCACAAAGAUAAAGAACAGAACAAUUCUCAAAAACAAGCUGAUUUAAAUUAGAUACAUUUUGUUUAAAAAAAGCUCAGUUACAAAAGAAACCAAAAGCAACAGGUCUGGUGGUUAGAGUGUUGGGACACUAACCGAAAGGUUGCUAGAUCAAAUCCCCGAGCUGACAAGGUAAACAACCUGUCGUUCUGCCCCUGAACAAUGCAGUUAACCCACUGUUCCUAGGCCGUCAUUGUAAAUAAUAUUUUUUUCUUAACUGACUGGCCUAGUUUAAAAAAAAUUAAACAUGCUUUUCAACUCAUUUCCAGAUUUUCCCUCUUGAUUCUGGGAAUCUUCUUACGAGGAUUCAAGGAAAACCUGGGAAACCAAAAUGUUGCAACUGUACACAUACUAGAAAUCUCCCCCCAAGCAAAGCUCUGUGACUGCACUGAGAAAAAGGUCUAGGAACCAUUGAGAAGCACUGUGACUGAACUGACUAAAAAAGGUCUAGGAACCACUGAACAGCACUGUGACUGAACUGACUAAAAAAGGUCUAGGAACCACUGAACAGCACUGUGACUGAACUGACUAAAAAAGGUCUAGGAACCACUGAACAGCACUGUGACUGAACUGACUAAAAAAGGUCUAGGAACCACUGAACAGCACUGUGACUGAACUGACUAAAAAAGGUCUAGGAACCACUGAACAGCACUGUGACUGAACUGACUAAAAAAGGUCUAGGAACCACUGAACAGCACUGUGACUGAACUGACUAAAAAAGGUCUAGGAACCACUGAACAGCACUCCCCCAAUCCAAAUAAACGACAGUUGUUCUAUCGCUCCAAAGAAAUGCUCCCUAGUCAAGAAAUAAAUAUCUCAGCUCUAAAACACCCAAUGCUGAACAUAGAAGGUGAUCAAACAUGGUAUGGGAUCACACUGCUUCCAAACGAAGCUGAAACGGGACACCCAUCAUUGGUCUACUUAUUAAGACUUCCUUGCAGAGACAACAUUUGGGCACCAUGGGUUAUCUUACACCCUUCAUCCUCUCUGUCCCUCUGAGGACAAUACUAUAAAAGCAGGAUCAAUGAGUUAGCCAGCUAACUUGCUUUAACGUUAUGAAAAUAGCUUUAAG
ensembl:lncRNA